GCUGGUCACUACUGUGUUCUUUCAGGUGUUCAAUCCUACGUUUGCAGAGUUUUGCACUCUCAUCUUCAGCCUGGAUUGACUCAACUGCCUUUCGUUUCAGCACGCUGAGUUUUUCAACUACUCCAUCUAGGAGACUAACAACUGAAUCCACAGCAGGACAACUGCUCAGCGUCUUCUCCAGCUCUGCCACGACCAUUGUAACGUGACUUGUCUCUCGAUCAAUGUUUUUCUGCGCAGCUCGAAACCGUUUGUUCAGUGUUUCAUAUGGCACCUUGAGAGUGGGGUACUCCUGCACCUUCAAAGUCAUUGAGAGCUGAGCAGCUGAUUCCUGCACCGCCAUCUUGGAUCGGGCACCAGCCUCCCUCCUCCUCC
rnacentral:lncRNA from 1 species